GGCUAACGCUGGCGGCGUGUCUUAGCCAUGCAAGUCGAGCGGACUUAUGGGGUAACUUAUAAGUCAGCGGCGGACGGCGGAGUAACACGUAGCUAACCUACCCUCUGGACGGGGAUAACCUACCGAAAGGUGGGCUAAUACCCGAUGUAGUCAUCCUGUAUAGGGGUGAUGAAAGGUGGGCUUCUGUUUACAAGCUCAUGCUGGAGGAGGGGGCUGCGGCCUAUCAGGUAGUUGGUAGGGUAAUAGCCUACCAAGCCGAUGACGGGUAGCCGGCCUGAGAGGGUGACCGGCCCGAGGGGCACUGAGAUACGGGUCCCACUCCUACGGGAGGCAGCAGGCUAGAAAUUUGGGCAAUGGGGGAAACCCUGACCCAGUGACGCCGCGUGCAGGAAGGAGCCCUUCGGGGUGUAAACUGCUGUCGUGUAGGGAGAAGGGUACUAAGGUGAACAAUCUUAGUACUUGACGGUACUACAGGAGGAAGCCCAGGCGUAACCUCGUGCCAGCAGCCGCGGUAAUGACACGCG
rnacentral:rRNA from 1 species